AUAAUCCUUACAGGUGAAGCAUUGCGAACACUUGAAAAAUCUCUAUAUAGAAUAUUGCCAUUAUUAAGGAAGUUAUGUGUUCGCAAUGCUUCACCUGUAAGGAUUAU